UCCGGUCGGACUGCCCCGCCAAGCUAGAAAAAAAAACGCACACAAAAAAAACAACAAUAACAAUAAUACAAACGUGAUGACAGUCCGGCCACUUACUGCUAACAUUCUCUGAACAACUAAGCGUAUUUUCGAUGUUCAAUUUCUCGCGAAUAAAAAAACGUACAAUUCUGAUUUUUUGAUAUGUUGUUGGCAUCAACGAGAGCUUUAAUUUGGUAUAUUUACAAACUUUCUACGGUAAGAAAUUAUGUAGAUUGGAGUACCCAAAGUUAGCAUUUUGGGGUAAUUUUUGAAAUCACAAAUCUUCGUGUCAACAAAAAACUACUGAACCAAUUCAAGUCAAAUUUCGUACACUGGUGUAAAUUAACGAGUUAUUUCUAAAUACAACGUCAGUUUUUAAAAAAAAUUAUUUUUGACCCACUUUUUCUCAAUUUGAAAAUUUCUCUCCCCCCAAAAACACCCCCAAAAUGAAAAUUUUUUGUGGUACCGUAGAAAAGCAUCAUCUACGUCAUAUUCACUAUCAAUGUGCAAAAUUUCAAGCAAAUCGGUUCAUUAGGAGAGGCUGUAGCCUUGACAACGGAAAUUACCUUCAUGAUUUUUCAGUGACAGAAAUGAGAAAGUAGUGGAAUAGAAGAAACAAAAUAAAAAUUUUUAGUUGAAGUGUAAAAAAGGGUCAUCUACAUGACUUCCACUACCACUAUACAAAAUUUCAAGUAAAUCCGUUCAUUUGAAGAGGCUGUAGCCCUGUCAACGGAAAGUUUCCGUUGGUUAUUUUACCGAUUUACGGCGGCACCGGUGGAGAUAAAUAUAAAAGGAGUAGAAAGCAGUUUGGGCGAAGCCCAAGGGGGGGGUGUGGGGGGACAAAGUCCCCCCCAACGAAUGGAAACAGUAAACAGUGAUAAGAAGUAUUCCUUCAUGAAUCGUGAUUACUGAUUUUUAGUUUUAUAAUCGUACUUAAAAGUAUUAAAAAUGGUUGCUACUAAUAAUUUGAACGACAGAAUAAAGAACGGAGAGCUCAACCUCAGCUCCUGCGGUUUAAAAGAAAUACCUCUAAAAGAAAUCGCUGGUUUGAAACAUGUCAUGUUUGUUAAAUCUAUCUAACUACAAAAUAGCCUUGAUUCCGAGCAAGAAUCAAAGAAAAAUGACAAAAAAGCUUAAUAUUGAGGUAUCGCCACACAAACUAAACAAAAAGAUCGCAAACAGAAGUAACCUUUCAAGAUGAUGUACAGUUUUGCUCGGUUUUCACUUUUCAGUUCAUCUGAUACCUUUACUAAAUAGUUAGACAAUUGGCCAAAGUGAUCAGAGGCAAUUUGUGGAUGUACCUACAAUAUGAACGAUGAAAUGGUCCAAUAAAUUUGUCAACAAGUGAAUCUACUUAUCUAUUCGUACGAAGAGCUUUUAUUCCAUUUUGAACUGAGUAAUUCGUUGUGACUCACGAAUUACCUCAUCGUAGAGUUUCAGCAGUUAUCACUGCUGCUUUCGUACGAUUAUUUAUACAUCAUUAAUUCAUUAUCAGUUAGUUGUAUGCAAUAAUGCAGUGUGUAUUUUUGGACAUUUUUAAUUUUGAUUUGUGUUCGAAUAGCUAGUGCUAGAUUUCUGAUGUGUACAUGAUUUAUCUCAUCAUUGAUUGAGUCAACAAGUCGUAAUGCGAGUAACUACUAACUAAUUCAGCGUUGAACGCGCAUUAUUUCAAUUCUAAUACAUACAUCGAGUUGUUCAUUUUCAGAUUCAUUCUGUUUUAUGUACAGUACCUAUUACCUAACCAUAAUACAUGAUCUUGUGCGUUUCUAGUUACUUGUUGAUUUUUUCCUCCAAUGAUACGCAUCGAUAGUUGUGGUAUAAUUUACUAUCACGCGUAGAGUAUACCUAAAAUUUAGAUAAUUUCACCAAAUUAUUCGUCUGUUUGAAGAUUAAUUAUUGACUAUUGAGUGAGUAUUAUCAA